rnacentral:rRNA from 1 species
GGUCUGAGAGGAUGAUCCGCCACACUGGGACUGAGACACGGCCCAGACUCCUACGGGAGGCAGCAGUGGGGAAUUUUGGACAAUGGGCGUAAGCCUGAUCCAGCCAUGCCGCGUGUCUGAAGAAGGCCUUCGGGUUGUAAAGGACUUUUGUCCGGGAGCAAAUCCCAGUGGUUAAUAUCUACUGGGGCUGAGAGUACCGGAAGAAUAAGCACCGGCUAACUACGUGCCAGCAGCCGCGGUAAUACGUAGGGUGCAAGCGUUAAUCGGAAUUACUGGGCGUAAAGCGUGCGCAGGCGGUUGUGCAAGUCUGAUGUGAAAGCCCCGGGCUUAACCUGGGAACGGCAUUGGAGACUG